rnacentral:rRNA from 1 species
CAUUAAAGAGUUCUAUAACUCCCAAACCCAUGUGAACAUACCUAACGUUGCCUCGGCAGGUCGCACCUACCUUGUAGCACCCUACCCUGUAGGGCCUACCCGGGAGGUGCGGGUAAGCCUGCCGGCGGCCCACCAAACUCUGUUUGAUAUUGAAUUCUGAACCUAUAACUAAAUAAGUUAAAACUUUCAACAACGGAUCUCUUGGUUCUGGCAUCGAUGAAGAACGCAGCGAAAUGCGAUAAGUAAUGUGAAUUGCAGAAUUCAGUGAAUCAUCGAAUCUUUGAACGCAUAUUGCGCCCAUUAGUAUUCUAGUGGGCAGGACCGUUCGAGCGUCAUUUCAACCCUUAAGCCUUCGUUGCUUAGUGUUGGGAGCCUACGGCAACGUAGCUCCUCAAAGUUAGUGGCGGAGUUGGUUCACACUCUAGACGUAGUAAUUUUUUAUCUCGCCUAUUAGUUGGACUAAUCCCCUGCCGUAAAACCCCCAAUUUAUCAAGGUUGACCUCGAAUCGGUUCAGACAAACUCGCUAAAUUGAAGCAUCUUAGUCAGCGAA